rnacentral:rRNA from 1 species
AUACGGAGGAUCCGAGCGUUAUCCGGAUUUAUUGGGUUUAAAGGGUGCGCAGGCGGGAGAUUAAGUCGGCGGUGAAAUUUUGCAGCUCAACUGUAAAAGUGCCUUCGAAACUGGUUUCCUUGAGUGUAGAUGAAGUAGGCGGAAUUUGUGGUGUAGCGGUGAAAUGCAUAGAUAUCACGAGGAACUCCGAUUGCGCAGGCAGCUUACUAAACUACUACUGACGCUCAGGCACGAAGGCGUGGGGAUCAAACAGAAUUAGAUACCCUGGUAGUCCACGCAGUAAACGAUGAUUACUAGCUGUUUGCGAUACAAUGUAAGCGGCUGAGCGAAAGCGUUAAGUAAUCCACCUGGGGAGUACGUUCGCAAGAAUGAAACUCAAAGGAAUUGACGGGG